AUGAGUUAGCAUAUACCAUAGUUUAUGUUGAAAAUAUCUUUACAGAUGUAAUUGAUAAAUAUAGUCUUAAGAAUUCGCCAAAUAUAGAAAAGUUCUUGGUAUAUUAUCCACCUGUUAGCAAAAUGAACUCGCCCAUUGACCCACAUUCCAGUUUGUUGUGGUAUUUUUGUACAGGGUGAUGCCAAAACAGUGCCUUUUGUUGACUGGUAAACAUUCCUUCAGUUACUAAAAUGCCUUUUUCUUUAAUUUCAGCUGGUUGCAUGGUGUGUACUGCAGAUAACUUCUCGACUUAAUCCGGCUGAUGUGAUGCUUUAGUUGAUUCGAGAGGCUACAUGUAUAUAGGCCCAGUACGUCGACAUCAUUGAUCCGGCAGUGAACAAGAUAAGUGGUUCAGCCUCCAAGAGGUGUCACCAGAAAUGCAACCGACAUUAUAGACAGGCGUGAUUACUACUCUGAUUUUGGACUGAUGGUAUACUCGUCUUCAAAAUGGACCUGACUAGGAAUGAUGAUGGUGACUUCCCU